AGCUCUGUUCUGACUUUCUUUCUUCUUGGUGCUGGGAACGGAACUCAGGGCCUCACGCGUGCCAGGCUCUAUUCUGGGCUACAUCUGCAGCGCUGAUUUGGGCUUUUUACAGGCAGGAGAAGUAAGGAGCUCCACAGAACCAGAGAAGUGGGAAGUUCAAGGGUUGGUGAGCAUGAAGGAGACCUCGGCUGCCGCGCCCUCCAGGGAGCCUGGGAGACGGCCUCCUCUUCUGAGGUUGCAUUCUGAGUUCCUGGUCCUUGAGAGAUGCUUCUGUGCUGGAAGAGACACCCACUCACAAUCCAGGCCCUCCAGCCAGGACUUGGGGUCAAAGGUGCCGGCAGUCAGCGCCCUCCUGGUCCAUCGUGAGGUAGAGGGAAAUAGCCCAUUACAAAUGAAUUUCUUUGGCACAUUUUGAAUUAGAAAAACAAACCUUCUGCAGACACAGAAGUGGCUUUGAAAGGCUGCCCUCUGGUAAGUUUAAAGGAAGUCUGCGUGGGGACCACAACUGCAGUGGGGGACGGAAACAGCUUCUGUAGCUUCUGCCCACUUUCAACCUGAAAGAUCUUUCCACUGGGGGAGGAGACCUGGGGCAUGCCAUGGCCCAGACACACUGCCACAGGGGCCGGUACCUGGGAGGCCUCCUCUGCCCGGCAAGACGGCGGCCUCCCUCAAGGGGCUUUAACUUUGCCAAGAUCUUGAGCUGGAGAGGAGUUUAUUAAAUUGGUGGAGUCAGCUGGAAACCUGGUCUCACCUUUGAGAUCAAACCCCGAGCUCAUUCCACUGAGCACCUUGGGCUCUAAGGGCACAGAUGAGGAACCAGGCAGAGGGCCCUCCCCUGGGUUCUGUCCCCUCCAGUGGUCCUUGGUGGCCUGGAAGGCCUUCCACCCUGAGGCAGUGCUUAAGGGCUGGGCCUCUCAAUGGGUCUGUGUUGGCUCUUCCUUACAGACAGGAGGAGCUGCCCGCCCCAGCAGGUCUCCCUGUUUAGGACAAUCAGUGUUGGUAAAGGAGCCCUUGGGAUGUGCCUGCUCCCCUCUCCCCAGGCGUGCAAGGACCUUCUGAAUGACCAGGCCAAGUCCUGGAGACCUCCUAGACUGCGGUGGACGCCUGAACGGCAUCAGGGGCCAGGUACAAAGGAGGGCUCUGUGCUGACCUGGUGGCAGGCAGUGUAGCGGCCCACGUGGCUCUGGAUGGUCUUCACACAGAAGUACAAGUGUCCAUUUGACGAGGGAGGUGGCACGUCACUGUGAGGGCUGCUUUCUGGACUGUGACUCACCUGAAGCUCACACAUUCGCAUCCACCCCUGCAGCUGGGAACCAGAGCCUGUUGCUCUGAUGGCUAGUUUCAACCUGAGAAAAACCAGUGAGAGGCUGUUGUGAAAAGGAGAUUCUGAAUGUCCUCUGAGGCAAGACCUUUUGGCCAAGCUAACAAGUAACUGGGCUCCAGCUGCUGAGAACACUGGGCCUGUGCACCUGCAGAGGCCACGGGGAGAGGUCAGGUCAGGCAGCUGGCUCUUGGGGAAGGUCUGGGAACGUGCCAGCUAGAAACCAAGAGGCCCAGGCACGGCUCGCGCUUCCUGGGGAGGGAUCCACCUGAAAGCUGUGGGGAACUGCUUCUUGGUGCUGACACCAAGUCGUGUGUGAGACUAAUGGGUGCCUGUUGGGAUGGAAAAAAGAAGGUUCUAGACCCAUCUUCACCUGGACCAGCCUUGGGCUCUGGAGCAAGUCAUUGGGUCUGAAAGUACAGUGACAGCCUUGACCCUGCCCUGAAGGCGUCAUGGUGUGCACAUGGGGCAAAGUCACCGCUGUGUUCAUAGAGUAUACCAGAAAUAGGGACCACUGUUCUCCUGCGCCCAGAUCCACUGACCUGCCUCGACUGUCCUUCACUGCCACAUUGAGCCAGUCACUGAGGAUGCACUCCACACUGGGACCCUCUUGCACAUAGUGGCUGGACAAACCCUGCUGAGACUGCCCACCAGAGGGCCUGCACGUGGCCCCUCUGGGGUCCCCUGGUAUGGCAGCUGGAUUUCAGAGGAAUCUUCUCAGGAGGGGACCUUUAGAGGAUAAGUGCUAAAGGAAAACCAGGAGGAACAGCAAGCUCUUAUCCUGCCUACGGAGGGCCACCUGCAGCACUCUCCUGGACCCGUUGACUGAGGUGGUCACCAUCGUUCAGAUUCAGAAGCAGGAGACCUGGGCUCCCCAUCUCGAUGAGAGGAGCAGCUAAGAAUUUGGAGCCAGCGUCACAGCUGCCACAGCAGCGGGAGCCUCCCGCAGGCGCUGCCUAGUCCAGGUCAGGCCUCUCGCUGUCCUGCUGCUCUGGCCCACUCUGGAGGGACGCUCCUCUGACAUCAGCUAAUUCCUGGGGACAUUUACCUGCCAAACAACCAGCCGUCCGUCCUCCCUGGCCGCAGCCCCUCUGCCUGUUGGGCUUUCGCACUCCAGUCCAGCCACGCCCACAGGAGGCUGCCCCUGGCCCAGGCGGCCAAUCCUGUGCGGCCCCGCCUGCCAAGCCCCGUUGCUGGGGCUCUUCUCCUUGUGACGGCCUUGUCCGCUUGCCUGUCUCACCACUCCUGAUCAAGACAAGCCCCGGAACCCUGAGGCGACUCCACCAGAGUGCUGUUUCUAGGUGGACACUGAAUCUGUCCCGUCCUGCAGCUGCCUGGGCCAGUCCUGGGCCAGUCCUCCCUGGUCUCCCCUCCCUCAGGUGUGGAUGUUGUUCUGUCCAGUCACGUAUAGUCCCAGGCCCCUCGCCUAGAACAGGUGACCAUGUGGUCACCCACAAACUCCUCCUGCUCUGAGGCUCGGCUCCAGGGCCCUCCUAUGGAAGGCUGCCACCUCUCAGGGCAGCUCAGAUGAUCCAUGGCUGCGGGGCCAGACCUCCCUAUGACACUCUCCACGUCACCUCGUUGUCUACCGUUUACGAAUAAUUCACAGGCGUUUGUCCCCCAGAGGCCAUGGACCCUUUCUGGGAAGAUACCAGUUUUUCCUGCUUAUUUUCCUGAAAUGGAUGCCUGGCUUUCAGCAGGAGAGAGACCUGUGGAGUUCAAUAGAUUAGAGAGAGGAAAGCAAUGUUGUGUGCAGGCGGGAGCUUUUCACACAACACACCCGGGUAUACAGACACAUGUCCAUCUGUGCAGCAUGUACAUGUACGUGCAUAGGAUGUGUGUGGUGUGUGUACAUAUAUGUGCAUGUGUGCGGAUGUGUCUAUGUGUAUGUACAUGUUGGCAUAGAGCUAUGUGCCCACGAACACAUGGGAUUGUAUCUCACAGGCACAGUUUCACAAACCAAAAGACAGACAAAAACCCCAUCUGAAUUUCCCACCCUUGGUCCUUGUUACAGCACCACCUCUACUUUUAGCCUGGCUUGUUGAGACUUCUCAGUAGCUGGGAGGAUAUUUGCUUUGACCAACAAAUAGAACAAGAACAUUUAGUGGCCUGUAUGCUAUGAUUAACAUCAAUUUUAUAUAAUUUGGAUAACUUAGGUGCAUUUCCCAGCUUGUAGUUAAGACUUUAAGGUUCAUGCAAAACUGCUCUUAGAUCCAAGAGCAGAUAAAGACAGAAGCACUUAGAUGCUAGUCAAAGGCAGCAUUUUGUGCCUGUGGUACCCAUGUGAAGACCGAUUACAACUUCCAAACUGAAUUAUAUGAUCAUUUGCUGUUGCAAUUGAUUUUUUAUUUCAGUGCUAGGGAUUGAAACCUGGGCCUUCUGUAUGCUACACAAAUGCUCUACCACUGGGCUAUAUCACCAGCAUUAGCUACAGAAACCUAGAUCAGAAAUAAGCUUCUUGCCAGACUUCUAAUGCAGUGAUCCUUGACUUUUAGCUUGCAAUAUUAUCGCUCAGGUCCUGGCCUUUUGAUUUCACUCCUCAUCUUCGUAUGAACCCCAGUCUUUUUCUGACAGCUUUCAGAUAUCCAUAGAAAUCUGAGGGCUUGGCAGGUGUGACAUACAGGCUGUAAUCCCAGUGACUUGGGAGUCUGAGGCAGGAGGAUUAUAAUUCAAGAUCCCCUUCUGCAACCCAGUGAGACCCUGUCUCAGAAAACAAAAAAGGCUGGGGUAGAGGGCCCUAUCACUUCCUCCCUACCACCCCUGGCAAAUAGAUCUGAAAGUUCUGCUGUGAUUAUAUUCAAAAUUCAUUACUGAGGACUUGGGGCACCUGUUCAAGCUAUAAACUUACAUGUUUCAGUUCAGGGAGACUUUGUUAAUUUUCUAUCUAAGAUCAUGUUUUUUUUUUUCUUUCUGUUGUUUCUGGAAACUCUCACUUAUCGGUUUUGGAUCCUUUUGGAUUGACCCUCCAAGUUUGAAGUCUAUUCUAUAUUUUUCAUCACUUCUUUGUGUUGUAUACGUUAACAGAUAUUUGAGUGCAGAAUAAAUUUCAGCACUGUGCUCUGACCGUCACAUACAGGGUGAUGAGAUUUUUCAAGUCUCUGUGCUCACUGGCCAUUUCACUAUCUUCUUUGGUGAGGUAUCCGUUCAAGUCUUUUCUCCAUCUUUUCUGGAGCUGUUUUUUUUAUGACUGAGUUGCAGUUCUUUGAUGUUCUACAUACAAGCCCUUUGUCAGGUAUAGGUUUGGUGAACACUUUCUCACAUAUUAGAUUCUAAUGAUGAAAAGAAGCUUUAAUGUUGCUAAAGGCUAGUAGUUCACCCUUUUUUCCAUUUAUGGUUAUGCUGUCUCUGCUACAGAAGCUGCAUAUGUGUUCUCCCACAUUUCCUUGAAGAAACUGUGAUUUGGGGCCUCUUUCUUGACUCUUUUCCCCUCUGGUUAUGGUUUACAUUUUCCUGCGUCUUCUAUAUUUAGAAACUUUUCGUGCUGGUUACUGUAAGUGCUACAUUGUUCAGGGAGAAUGGAUUCUGCUGUCUUUCUCUAGGAGUAUUGGAGGCUCCCCGGCAAGUACACAGCAAUUAAUAUGCAGGCAGCUCAGCGGGUUCCUGCGAAGGUUUGGUUUCAGGUUUUGGUGGGGUGGGUGGGCAGAGCCCCUGCUCCUGGGUACAGCUAGUGGCCUUGUUGUGCUCCCUCCAGGGCCCAGGGUCCCAGCACUGGUCUGCUUGCUCGUGGCAGCUGGGACUCCCCGUCUGGUGCUGUGUGGUCUCUGUCCAUCUGUGCACAGGCACCCCCACAGCUGCUCUCCGCCAGACCUUCGGGAGCCCACUGCGCGGCACAUCUGGCUCCACCCACAGAGGACCAGCCUGGGGAUUUCUGGACUGUCUGCUCUGUGCAGCUCUGCCCUCUCCUGACCCUGCCCCGCCAACCUCGUGACCACCGCAGCCCGAGCUGUGCAGGGCCACUUCUUCUUUUUAGGGUUCCGCUUUCCGUCAGCCUUGUUUGGAAAGUGGCCCCAGAUGGACAUUGGUGCAGACGCAGAGUCCGUGCUGUGUCUGGUCCUCUCAGGGCCUCAGCCCUGCAAGACGCCUGCUGCUGAAAAUGUUUGCUGUGUGUCUUUUGCUCAGUUUUAUGGGCAUUUUUUAACAACCUCCGAAGUCGGGAGACAGACCUUGCUGGCUAGGCCAAGUGGGCCUCACAUGUCCUCCCUGCACCCCGCCUGCCUCCUAUAGCAUUAGCCUCUCUGUCCACACUGGCAUCCCCAGCGCUACCGUCCCUCCAUUGUUAGUCUCUUUACAUCAGUUCCGGGAGGCACUGCCCACAGCUCCGAGCUCUGAGGAUCCCCGCGGCAGGCGGCAGGCGAUUGGGCCACCCAGCUUUCAUUCACUGCACCCCGCCGCGGAGAUUGGAAUGUCCCUCUGUUCCUUUGUAUUUGUGUAAAUUUGUAGUUGGACACAGAGGCUUACUGAGGCUGAGGUUUGGCUUCUGUAGCAAAACCACCUCACAGGCAGUUUUCCAUCAAGAAGAACGUGCCAUCUUGUGCCUUUGUGUGAGGUGCUGCAGUCUAUGAUGCUCAAUGACAGUCCCUUGGGGUUGAAAAAUAGCAGGAUUCUGUCAUUCUUCCUUACUUGCUCAAAAUUUUCUAUGUAGUAACACCUUCUGUCUACACUGCUGGGACCUGAAUAGUGACGAUUUGAAUAAGAAAGGCACGUUAAGGUUCUCCAUUCUUUCCCUGUGUUCUCAGUUUUGAAUAGUUGAUUCCCUAGCAUCUCUUCAGGGUGGCCAGACACAUGUAUAUGUGAGUGCGUGUGUGAGAGUGUAUGUGGUGUGUUUGUGUGUGUGUGUGUGUAUGUGUAGUGUGUGUGGUGUUUGUGUGUAUGUGUGUGUGAGUGUGGAGUGUGUGUAAGCAUGCGUGUGUGAGUAUAGGUGUAGGUGGUGUGUAUGUGUGUAGGUGUGUGUGGUGUGUGUGAGUGUAUGUGUGUAAGUGUGUGUGUUUCCUGUUAUCUGGGGGCUAUUUCAAUCUGAUGCAGUUAACAUCCUCACUGAUGCUCAAUUGUCCUAUUUUGGACCUUGGAAAAUCUACCAUUUGAUAUUUGUGUCCUAUUAGCAUCACCUGGUAGUCUUUAAUAGCUUCGUUGCUCUCUGAUAAAAUGUUCUAGAUUCA